rnacentral:rRNA from 1 species
UAGAAUCCUCAGAGACUAAACGCCAGACAUCAAAGUUUGAUGAAGAUAUAGUCCGAACUUCAUAGCGAUAUGAAGAGGUUAUUAGAAAUAAUAGCUCGCCAUCAUUGUGAUGGUUAGUAGCCGUUUUGGUGAAAGUAACAGAUAUGAGCGUAAUGCCUUGUCGUUUUAUUGACGACGUGCAUGAAUGGCGCAACGAGGUCUCUACUGUCCCUAGUUGGAAUCCCCCGAACACAUUAUCCUGGUGCAAAGACCAGGGACUUCCAGUGGGAAGCAAAGACCCCGUAGAACUUUACUACAGCUUUUUGUUGCGGUGUGAUUUUUGUUGUGCAGAGUAGGUGGAAGCUGUUGAAGACCAGACGCAAGUUUGGGAAUAGGCAUCAAUGAGACACCACCCUUCAAAAAUUACAUUGCUCACUCUCUGAAAGAGAGGACAUCAUAAGGUGGGUAGUUUCGCUGGGGCGGCAGACUGCUGAAAAGAUAUCAGCAGUGCCCUAAGGUUGACUCAGUCGGGUUGGAAAUCCGAUGUAGAGUGCAAGAGCAUAAGUCAGCUUGACUGUGUUCCGAACAAUAAGGAACGCAGCAACGAAAGUUUGGUCUAGCGAACCCCUAGAUCUUCUUAAUGGAGGAUAGGGAUGACAGAAAAGCUAUCUCGGGGAUAACUGAGUGGUAGCGCCUAAGAGUCCAAAUCGACGGCGCUGUUUGCUACGACGAUGUCGGCUCGCCGCAACCUGGGUGUGCAGAAGCGCCCAAGGGUGAAGGUGUUCACUUAUUAAAGCGGCUCGUGAGCUGGGUUCAGAACGUCAAUAUAACCACACACGGCGUUGCUUACCCGCGAGGGUAUGAAAAAUAAAAUCGACUCAUAUCGGUGAAACCUAAGUCUUUUUAUAGUAUGAAAGAUAUGGUAAUACCGAGGGAAGGUGAGAUUUAUGGAUUCAAUAACACUUGCUUAUGUAGCUGGUUUUCUGGAUGGUGAUGGGAGUAUAUUUUUUCAGAUAAUUCCAAGAAAAGAUUAUAAGCAGAAAUUUCAAAUAAGAACAAGUAUUGCUUUUUACCAAAAAACAGUAUCUGUUCAUAUUUUAGAAUGGCUGAAGGAAAUAUUUGGAGUAGGAUAUAUUCGUUAUCGCAAAACAGGAGUCAGCGAUUAUACUGUUGUUGAAUCAAAGGAAGUUCAAAAAAUAUUGGAACUUUUGCAGCCGUAUGUUAGGCUUAAAAAGAAGCAAAUUGAGCUUGCUCUAGAAAUAUUAACUAAAUUAAAUCAUAAAAAGUCUAAUGAAGAUUUUUUAGAGAUUUGUAAACUUGUUGAUAAAUUUGGAGAGCUUAAUUAUUCUAAGAAAAGAAUUAUAACAUACGAUACUGUAAUUAAGUCUUUACCCCUGUAGAGACUGAAGCUAUAUGCUGAGAGUUUUGUUGUAAAAAACAAGGCUAAGACGUCGAUCUCCUUUGCUGCAAGCGAAGGAUGAAGGUAUAGUCCAUGCCAUUUGAAAAAAUUGGGAUAAACAUGUGUGAGACAGUUUGUUCGAUAUCUACUGGAAGUGUUUAGUGUCUGAGAGGAAGGAUCUUUUAGUACGAGAGGAACGGAGGUUCGAGGCCUCUGGUUUAUCUGUUAUCUGACAAGGUAGGCAGAGCAGCUACGCCUCAAGCGAUAAGAGCUGAACGCAUCUAAGCUCGAAGUGUGCCUCAAAAAGAGACACUACAAGCUCCUGUAAAAGACAGGUUUGAUAGGAACGGCGUGUAAGUAUCGAGGUAACGAGAUAUUCAGCGCGCGUUUACUAAUUGCUUGGAAAAUAAGAAUU